UACGUAGGGUGCGAGCGUUGUCCGGAAUUAUUGGCGUAAAGGGCUCGUAGGCGGUUUGUCGCGUCGGCCGUGAAAACCUGCAGCUUAACUGUGGGCUUGCGGUCGAUACGGGCAUCACUGGAGUUCGGCAGGGGAGACUGGAAUUCCUGGUGUAGCGGUGAAAUGCGCAGAUAUCAGGAGGAACACCGGUGGCGAAGGCGGGUCUCUGGGCCGAUACUGACGCUGAGGAGCGAAAGCGUGGGGAGCGAACAGG
rnacentral:rRNA from 1 species